rnacentral:rRNA from 1 species
UGGGGACUCUUGGACACUGGGGUCAACCCUGAUCCAGCGACGCCGCGUGGGUGAUGAAGGCCUUAGGGUUGUAAACCCCUUUCACCGGGGAGGAUGAUGACGUUACCCGGAGAAGAAGCACCGGCUAACUCCGUGCCAGCAGCCGCGGUAAGACGGAGGGUGCUAGCGUUGUUCGGAAUCACUGGGCGUAAAGGGCGCGCAGGCGGUCUGGUCAGUCACAUGUGAAAGCCGGGGGCACAACCCCGGAAUUGCAUUUGAUACUCCCGGACUGGAGGUCGAGAGAGGAAAGUGGAAUACCCAGUGUAGAGGUGAAAUUCGUAGAUAUUGGGUGGAACACCAGUGGCGAAAGCGGCUUUCUGGCGCGAACCUGACGCUGAGGCGCGAAAGCGUGGGGAGCAAACAGGAUUAGAUACCCCCGUAGUCC